rnacentral:tRNA from 1 species
GCCCGCGUAGCUCAACGGAAGAGCACCUCGCUUACAACGAGGGGGCCGGGGGUUCGACACCCUCCGCGGGUA